ACCAUGUCACAUAUCCCAGCUCUCAUCUGAUUGAGCCCACCAUUGGCAUGAACCAGCAAGUACCCUCGAGACUCUGGAGGAGGUGUAUAUAAUGGACUUGCAGCAACACAAGGAACAUGGUCGCGAUUUGGGGGUGGUUUCCAUAACUUUUCCAAACUCCCAUUCCGACUUGCAACAUCUAACUUUCGAGCAGCGAGAGGAGCCUUUGGCAAAUGGGGCGGGGCAAGUUCUUGAAUCCAGCUUCUUUCUCUACUCAGCUUUUGGGAUGAAAAUUCAUGUUGCGUGGGAAGUUUAUCAGGCAACUUGGUAACUUCUGAAGCAGGAAAUUGGAUAUGAACAUAUAGAAGAGCCAUAAGGGCUAUUGCAGUGAUGGCAAAAGUUAACAUCUUGCGCACAAUAGACACUUUUCUCCAUCUUUUCUUCUGCAUCUUCAACAACAACACCCUUUUCUUUCAAGAACCCACAAAAACACACAAAAUCUCAGACACCCUUUUGAUAUGUAUGGCUGAUUUUGAUUCUUUGUUGUGUGGAAUUCGUAACUG
rnacentral:misc_RNA from 1 species